rnacentral:SRP_RNA from 1 species
GCCGGGCGUGGUGGCGCGCGCCUGUAAUCCCAGCUACUCAGGAGGCUGAGGCAGGAGAAUCGCUUGAACCCAGGAGGCAGAGGUUGCAGUGAGCCGAGAUCGCGCCACUGCCCUCCAGCCUGGGCGACAGAGCGAGACUCCGUCUCAA